rnacentral:rRNA from 1 species
GUCUGAGACCCCGAAACUAGACGAGCUACUCCGAAGCAGUCUAAAAGGACUAACCCGUCUCUGUGGCAAAAGAGUGGGAAGACUUCCGAGUAGAGGUGAAAAGCCUACCGAGCCUAGUUAUAGCUGGUUGCUUAAGAAAAGAAUAUGAGUUCAGCCUUAUAAGUUUCUCAAAAAUCAAAAUGAAAGAAUAAAGUAACACAUAAGAGUUAGUCGAAGGGGGUACAGCUCCUUCGAAAAAGAACACAACCUUACCCAGGUAAAUAAGGAUUAUACUAAAAAAGGACAUGACUUUCAACAGUGGGCCCGAAAGCAGCCACCUCUAAUAGAAAGCGUUAAAGCUCAAGAACAGCCACACCAAAAAUAAAAAUAACCACUCCUAAUUUCCUAAUAAUAUUAAGCUACCCUAUUUUAUAGGAGAAAUUAUGCUAAAAUGAGUAAUAAGAGAAACUAGACCCUCUCCGGGCACACGUGUAAAUUAGAGCGGACAAACCACUGACAACUAACGGACCCAAAAAAGAGGGUAAAACAACAAAACUCAAUAAACAAGAAAAACCUAUUAAAACAACCGUUAACCCAACACAGGAGUGCCACUUAAGGAAAGACUAAAAGGGGAAGAAGGAACUCGGCAAACACAAACCUCGCCUGUUUACCAAAAACACCGCCUCCUGCAAAUAGAAUGUAUUGGAGGUCCUGCCUGCCCAGUGACAAUAGGUUCAACGGCCGCGGUAUUUUGACCGUGCAAAGGUAGCGUAAUCACCUGUCUUUUAAAUAAAGACCUGUAUGAAUGGCAAGACGAGGGUUUUACUGUCUCCUCCCCCCAGUCAAUGAAAUUGAUCUACCCGUGCAGAAGCGGGUAUAAAAACAUAAGACGAGAAGACCCUAUGGAGCUUUAGGCACACAUCAAAUAUGUAAAAAACCAAAUCUUCCAAAUAGGCCUAAAAAAUGAGAAAAACAAGUAUUAAUGAUUAAUUGCCUUCGGUUGGGGCGACCACGGGGAAAAAUAAAACCCCCACAUGGAAUGGGUAAAAUUAUCCUAAGCCAAGAAAAACAAUUCUAAGCAACAAAAUUUUUGACCAAUAAACGACCCAGGGAUAACAUCCCUGAGCAAUGAACCAAGUUACCCUAGGGAUAACAGCGCAAUCCUUUCCCAGAGCCCAUAUCAACGAAAGGGUUUACGACCUCGAUGUUGGAUCAGGGCAUCCUAACGGUGCAGCCG